GCACGGGUAGCACAGUGGCUAGAGCUGCUGCCUUUAGACCAGAAAGUUGCUGGUUCAAAUCCCACCUCCAGCU
rnacentral:tRNA from 1 species